AUUGAACGCUGGCGGCAGGCCUAACACAUGCAAGUCGAACGAGUGGCGGACGGGUGAGUAAUGUCUGGGAAACUGCCCGAUGGAGGGGGAUAACUACUGGAAACGGUAGCUAAUACCGCAUACCAUCGGAUGUGCCCCGAUGGGAUUAGCUAGUAGGUGGGGUAACGGCUCACCUAGGCGACGAUCCCUAGCGGGUCUGAGAGGAUGACAGGCCAAACGGGAACUGAGACACGGGGCAGAGUCCUAGGGGAGGAAGCAGUGGGGAAUAGUGCACAAUGGGCGCAAGCCUGAUGCAGCCAGGACGCGUGUAUGAAGAAGGCCUGCGGGUUGUAAAGGACUUUCAGCGAGGAGGCGUUACUCGCAGAAGAAGCACCGGCGAACUCCGUGCCAGCAGCCGCGGUAAUUC
rnacentral:rRNA from 1 species